rnacentral:rRNA from 1 species
GGAAAAGAAACCAACAGGGAUUGCCCUAGUAACGGCGAGUGAAGCGGCAACAGCUCAAAUUUGAAAGCUGGCCUUCGGGUCCGCAUUGUAAUUUGUAGAGGAUGCUUUGGGUGAAACGCCAGUCUAAGUUCCUUGGAACAGGACGUCAUAGAGGGUGAGAAUCCCGUAUGUGACUGGAAAUGUUAACCUAUGUAAAGCUCCUUCGACGAGUCGAGUUGUUUGGGAAUGCAGCUCUAAAUGGGAGGUAAAUUUCUUCUAAAGCUAAAUAUUGGCGAGAGACCGAUAGCGCACAAGUAGAGUGAUCGAAAGAUGAAAAGCACUUUGGAAAGAGAGUUAAAAAGCACGUGAAAUUGUUGAAAGGGAAGCGCUUGCAAUCAGACUUGUUUAAACUGUUCGGCCGGUCUUCUGACCGGUUUACUCAGUUUGGACAGGCCAGCAUCAGUUUCGGCGGCCGGAUAAAGGCUCUGGGAAUGUGGCCUUCACUUCGGUGAAGGUGUUAUAGCCCAGGGUGUAAUACGGCCAGCCGGGACUGAGGUCCGCGCUUCGGCUAGGAUGCUGGCGUAAUGGUUGUAAGCGACCCGUCUUGAAACACGGACCAAGGAGUCUAACAUCUAUGCGAGUGUUCGGGUGUCAAACCCCUGCGCGUAAUGAAAGUGAACGGAGGUGGGAACCGCAAGGUGCACCAUCGACCGAUCCUGAUGUCUUCGGAUGGAUUUGAGUAAGAGCAUAGCUGUUGGGACCCGAAAGAUGGUGAACUAUGCCUGAAUAGGGUGAAGCCAGAGGAAACUCUGGUGGAGGCUCGCAGCGGUUCUGACGUGCAAAUCGAUCGUCAAAUUUGGGUAUA